CCCUUAGAUGUUCUGGGCCGCACGCGCGCUACAAUGAUGCAUUCAACGAGUUUAUAACCUUGGUUGAAAAGCCUGGGUAAUCUUUUGAACUUUCGUCGUGAUGGGGCUAGACCCUUGCAAUUAUUGGUCUCCAACGAGGAAUUCCUAGUAAACGCAAGUCAUCAGCUUGCAUUGAUUACGUCCCUGCCCUUUGUACACACCGCCCGUCGCACCUACCGAUUGAAUGGUCCGGUGAAAUCUUCGGAUUGAGACUUUGAUUUCUUCACGGAAAACGCUGUUUUAAGAAGUUGAUUAAACCUUACCAUUUAGAGGAAGGUGAAGUCGUAACA
rnacentral:rRNA from 1 species